rnacentral:rRNA from 2 species
CGCCUCUUGCAAAACCAACGAAUAAGAGGUCCCGCCUGCCCUGUGACUAUAUGUUCAACGGCCGCGGUAUUUUGACCGUGCGAAGGUAGCGUAAUCACUUGUCUUUUAAAUGGGGACCUGUAUGAAUGGCACAACGAGGGCUCGACUGUCUCCUUUUUCCGGUCAAUGAAAUUGAUCUUCCCGUGCAGAAGCGGGAAUACUAACAUAAGACGAGAAGACCCUAUGGAGCUUUAGAUAAUAAGGCAGACUGUGUUAAGCACCCUUAUAAUAAAAGACCAAACUAACUGUAAAACUGCCCGAAUGUCUUUGGUUGGGGCGACCGCGGCGAAACAAAAAACCCCCGUGCAGAAAGAGGGGACUACCCUCCAAAUCAAGAGCUCCCGCUCUAACAAACAGAAUAUCUGACCUACAAGAUCCGGCAAUGCCGAUUAACGGACCGAGUUACCCUAGGGAUAACAGCGCAAUCCCCUUCUAGAGUUCAUAUCGACAAGGGGGCUUACGACCUCGAUGUUGGAUCAGGACAUCCUAAUGGUGCAGCCGCUAUUAAGGGUUCGUUUGUUCAACGAUUAAAGUCCU